UACGUAGGGGGCAAGCGUUGUUCGGAUUUACUGGGCGUAAAGGGCGCGUAGGCGGCGUGACAAGUCACUUGUGAAAUCUCCGGGCUUAACUCGGAACGGUCAAGUGAUACUGUCGUGCUAGAGUACAGAAGGGGCAACUGGAAUUCUCGGUGUAGCGGUGAAAUGCGUAGAUAUCGGGAGGAACACCAGUGGCGAAGGCGAGUCUCUGGGAUGAUGCUGACGCUGAGGCGCGAAAGCUAGGGUAGCAAACGGG
rnacentral:rRNA from 1 species